rnacentral:rRNA from 1 species
ACGUACACUCCUGCGGGAGGCAACAGUGGGGAAUAUUGGACAAUGGGCGCAAGCCUGAUCCAGCCAUGCCGCGUGAGUGAUGAAGGCCCUAGGGUUGUAAAGCUCUUUCACCGGUGAAGAUAAUGACGGUAACCGGAGAAGAAGCCCCGGCUAACUUCGUGCCAGCAGCCGCGGUAAUACGAAGGGGGCUAGCGUUGUUCGGAUUUACUGGGCGUAAAGCGCACGUAGGCGGACUAUUAAGUCAGGGGUGAAAUCCCGGGGCUCAACCCCGGAACUGCCUUUGAUACUGGUAGUCUUGAGUUCGAGAGAGGUGAGUGGAAUUCCGAGUGUAGAGGUGAAAUUCGUAGAUAUUCGGAGGAACACCAGUGGCGAAGGCGGCUCACUGGCUCGAUACUGACGCUGAGGUGCGAAAGCGUGGGGAGCAAACAGGAUUAGAAACCCUAGUAGUCCC